UUUGGAAUGACCUUGUCUUCUGAGAGCCAUUUCUUGAAGUGUGACAAUAGAAAGGUAAGUGUUGGUGACUAGACAGGUGCAUUAUUUUUAAAUUCCGAAGAGUUUUUUCUUUUAAUGUACAAAUUAUAGUUGUCAAUCUUCCAGCUUUCUGCACUGCCAGAAGUCUCUAUUAAUACCCAACAUUCUUUUUGGAAUGGGUAGGUGCCUGAUUAGCUGCACAGAUAUGUUUAAUUAAUCAUUUUAUAUUUUGCUGUGUUUAAAACAAAAAAAGCUGAUGAAAUGUUUAUUAUCAAAUAUUUUAGUUACAGAAAAUAUUUUGAGUUAGUUUUGCCAGUUUAUUCAGUUAAUAUAAUAUUGUCAUAAUUGUUACCAGAUAGCAAAAUCAGAAAUUUUGAGAGUGAUUUCAAAAAGAGUAUGUGUUUUGUAAAAUAUUUUUGAUGGCUAUUUUGAUUGCAAAGUAAAGAGGGUUAAAAGAUUGUUAGGGGAGAUAAAUCUUGCUUUGUCAGGAGAGGCAAGGGCUUUUACAUAAAGCAAGCACAUUGCGCUCAUCAGAACAGAGAAACAACAGAAGCCUUAUACACUUAGUCUUACUGACAACCUUAAUACUAAGUGUGAGUAGAAGUCGGGGGAGUCUUUGUCUAAGAGAAAAUAAAGAACAAUUCAUAUGCCCAGCAAGUAGGAAUUUUGCUCCUGUUUCCAUACAAGGUCCAGCUGCCAUAUAUACACAGUCCAAGAAGCGAAAGGUAACUGUGGGAAAGAAGAGACCUCAGGGAAUGUAAGGUUUGCCCUGAUGUACGCUCAUCUACAAAAUGAAGGAGGAGUAAAAAAUGCCAUUCAAAGGCGCUCAUCAACCCUUUCCCAGCAGGUAGUUAUGUAAGAGCAUUUAAAGGGGUGAGGAGGGCACUUGGGUGUGCUAAUGAUUGCAUAGAAUUCAGUAUUUUAGCCUGUGUAUGCAGAAAACAUGGAAGCACACUAUUUCACAUGCAGAGUGUGGCGUUGUUUUCUCAGUAGACAAAAAAGAAAACUUUGUUAAUGUGUUGUUAAAGGUAUAUGUAGUAGAAAAAUAGUCUUUCUCCAAAUUCUCCAUUUAUACUCCUUUUCCAACAGAAAUGUAUUUUCUCCCUUCCACACUGGUUAAUUCCCCCAUGGUUCUGUGAGCAAUUGCCAUUCUUUGGAUAGUACAGGCAACUGGUGUCCAGAGAUGAUUGUAUAAUUUUGUAGCCUCUCUGUAUUCAGUUGUUUUUGCCUUCAAGAGCUCAGGCUGAUGAAGCAAUAACCUAUAGUGCAUCUGUUCAGACAUCAAAGCAGCAUUUGCAGUGUCUUGCAGACAUUCUUUCUUUAAAGUGUUUUUUGUAGUCUUUGCUCAUCUGUCACAACAGAUGCAUAAAUACAUUCUAAGUUCAAGAUCUUAACUAGACAUCAAAAACAGGCAUUAUAAUUUAAUUUGGUUCCCCUGCUCCUGAAAGAGCAUUCUUCAAGGUCUCAAGAAACUGAAAAUCAAUCACUUAGCUUGGUAGCUUUAUCCCUUGGUUUAUCAUCUUUUUCAUCCUUUUCAUUUUUUCACUGUUCUCUUUUCCAGCUUGAAAUUUUAAGGUUUUAAUUUGAAUGCAUUUGGCUUGUACCAUGCCUUUCUCUGCUAACUAGAAGAAGCCUUGAGCAGGCAAUAUUUUCUUUGCCUAAACUUACUUGUAUAAUAAAAUCAAGUUGCCUUUCAGACAUAUUUAUUUGAUGAACUGAGUGAAUGUACAUUUACAAUCUUACUGAGGGCCUCCUGUGAUUUCUGCAAUAACAGUUUUAUUGUAAUCGUGAUCAUGUUUUAAAGUUGCAAAUAUAGGCAUGAUAUUUCAUUAAUAGCCUUUUAGUGGUCAGGGCCACCCACAGAAGUAAAAUCCUCUUCCUUCUCAGACUUGAUCUGCUGAUUAUUUACUCAAAGAUCACAUUAGUCUUUUUUGCUGCAACAUCAUUCUGGGAUGUUGUCCAUUACAAUUCUAAAUUCAAGAUACAGUUACCCAGGCUUAGCUACAUUCUUUGUUCCCAUUUGUAACUCUGUAUUUCACUCUGGUAAGACAAAUUCUAUUGAAUUAGGUUCAGCUAAUUAAUGUAUCUAAAUUUCCUUAUAUGAUUACACUCUAUCAGCCUUUCAAUUAUCGUUGUGCUCAGCAAAUUUUAGCAGCAAAAUUUUUUUAAAGUGCAUUGACUCAUGUUCAGUGAUGUAAGUUCUAAUAGUGCCUCUUACGAUAGUGCAUUCAAAAUAUCCCCAUUUAGUUAUAAUUCCUCAUAGACAACUACUUUUUGAGAUCUGUUGAUUUGCCUUUAAGCAUUUCUGGUGCUGAAUAACACUGUUUCAAAAGAUAAUGCAGAACAUCUCCAAAAGUCUAAGCACACAAUAUCUGUGCAAUAAUCUUUUUACAAAUCUUAUACUCAUUUAAGAAAGAAAUUCAGUAGGUCCAUCAACAUUUGAUUUUUUUUUUUAUUCCUAUUUCAUAUACUGAUUAGAAGAAAUUCUAGAGCAAAUCCUUUAAUUCUUGAUUAGUUGAAUGACCUUUUCUUUUAUUGUGCUUGGGAUUGAGGUCAGCCUGUGACUACACAGGUUCAUUCUGUCAUUUCUCUUUAUUAUCAUCACUCAUCAGGUUUCCAGGCAUUUCUUUGCUACUCAGUAUCAGCAGGUGAUAAAACUUGUCAGGCAACUCAUCUAAGAUUUUGGUUCAAAAGUAUUUAGUCCUGGCUGCAUUGAAAAUACGGUAAGUAUUGCUUAGUGUUUGUCUUAGUCGUUGAUAAACCCUCUGCUCUUUGUCCCAAGGGCUAGGACAACAGAUUUGGGAUGGCCAGCAGUAAACUGCUUAGAAGCAGUGAAACGUGAAGAGUGGUUGAGGUACUGUGCUAUUACAGAUGCCUAAGGGUGGGCAAUAGCACGGGACCAGUAGAUUCAACACAGCAUUUAUGGGGCACUCUGGCUUUUCUAGACCACUAGCAAGAGGUCAGGCGGGGUAGUGAGAACACCUAAAAUGACACAAAUAGCUUUAUCAUUCCUCUAUUAUCUCCAUUCCUCCUUCAGCUGACGGUAACAACCAUAUGAUCUGUGGGGUCCUGGCUUUUUCUGGACAAUGUGCAGUACUUACAUUAAUCAGUCUUUAUUGUUAAUCUUACUAUCUAAUUGAGUUACUACAAGCAGGAUGCUUUUGGAUACUGUCUCUCCCAUUACAUUGAAUUAUCUAGGUCACAGAAGCAUAGAUGAUCCUACCAAGAUCCACUUCAGAAGAAAUGGCCAUCCCAAAAGUCAACUAAGAAGGAAAUCAGGCUAAAAUACAGGAGCACAUAGGUAGUGGAAGUGACAGUGCUCAAUUAGCCACAGCACGAAAGGCAGGGAGGAGGGUCUGGAGGAGCUUCUAAAUGGCAGGGUCCACAGCCCUCCUUCCUUCUUCCUCUCUGUUCCUGAAAAGCAGAGAGGUCCAGCCUGCACCCCAGACCACCCUCCAUAGCUCCAAAAGCAGCAUCUCCUUGUAGGUGGGAAGAAGAUGAAUCUUUUCAGUGAUGCAUUUGGUGGUCUAGAGCAAAAUGUAUUAAAAAUUAUAAUAAAAAUGUCAAAAAUUAUUAAA